rnacentral:lncRNA from 1 species
UAACAUUUAAAUUAGUGAACUAACAAAUGGGAGCUCUGAUGACAUCAUGAUCAGAUCAUACAUGAUGAGCCUGCCCCAUUGGGUGAUUCCUCUCCCUGUAACAGUCACCUUCUAGGCACUGGUUCAGCUAUGCUCUUCAGGUUCUCUACUUGACAUCUACCGCUGGCUCAGGUCUGAGAGAACUGAUAGGGCAAUCAGCCCUACAGUAUCCCAAGGGAUAUUACUCAAAAUGAAGAGACAAAAACAAGCAAACAUGCAGAUGAGAAAAAAGAAAAAACAUCAGUAGGAGCCAAUCGUCUGAGAUUACAGGAGUGUAUCACCAUCCUCCACCUCUGCCCUUCUUACGUAAAGUGUGACACUGGGAGAAUAAAAUGCAGGUGUUGAGUUUGGAGAUGAAGUCCUGUUUGACUGCUCUGAAGGCCAGAGGCUCAGGGAUGUAUGGUGAACUUGGAGGAUGUGGAUGUCUGCUACUCAUCUAUUUACCCUGGGCACUAGACACAGAGCCUAGGAAAUAGUGGGCACGCAACCCAUUAGCAAAAACUGACUGCGAAGCACAUGGGAUCAGUCCCUUCACUGAGCUCCAAGAACAUCCAUUUCUGUGUUCUUCCUUGGAAUCAGUCUUUGCAGCUAUACACCCCUCAUCUCAGGUUUGUGUUGUUACCUUGUACAUAGAGCCUCCUCCUUAAAAACCACUUAGCCCAAAGCACAUGCUGAUCAUGAAGCAUGUGCUCAGGAACACAAAUGCAGGUGUGAACUAAUGAAUUUAAG